GUUCAUCAUCACUUUCAUCAUCCUCUCUGGCCCAUUUAGAUGUAGGCAAAAUUGUCUCACUUUUGCCGUCACUGGAGAAGUCAAUUGAAUUAUAGUGUGGAGCAGAAUUUAUUUGGUGUGAAGAUACAGACUCUCUUUGUUUGAGUUGUACGUCAUAAUCCAUUUGACUGUUCCGUUCGGAAGGAGCCAUCCUGUCCAACUCAAGGUUGCUAUCUUUCCGAGUACUGGGAAACCUAGCAGAACUUGAAUGGCUCGCAAAUUUCAAAUCUUCAUCUAGUUCAUGACCCCUCUGCUUUUCAGCUUCUUCCAGAUAAAGUAACCGAGCAACCAUCAUUUCCCUACCACCUACGAUAGAUAAACCAUUGUGCCUGCAUCGUCUUUCUAGCUCCGUAAGUGGAAGGCUCAACAGUUCCUUCAUCGCAGCUCCUUUGCCAAUUGCCAAAGCACCAUCUGGGUUAACUUUGCCGCCAUCACCUGCAUCAUCAGAGCUGGUCCUUUGCUCCACGUCAGGUGCAUCACCACACAGAGAAUGGAAGGGGGUCACACCAGAGUUCCCGGUUCGAAGAAAGGUAGCUCGUAAACCAUUGACAUAGGCAUCCGAAAACAAAAACCAAUCAGCCCAUACUUGAAGCACUUUCAGAACUCUCUCUUUAAGUGCCUCGGCAGUAAUUCGCCCUGUUAUACUUCGAUAUAGAUCAUUGAAGCUUUCCAUUAUGUCUGGUAAAGAGGCUUCGAAUUUGGUGCGAUAAGCAGAUGCAUUCUUCACAGGAGCGCUACUAUUAUGAAGAAUAUCAGAGACAAGCAUGAGCCUAGAAACUUUUGUUGGUAUUGGAGUUUCCUUUAGUGUCAACGACUCUGUCAAAACUUCAACAACCUCUCCAGCAGCAUCAGCGUUGUCCAAAGAAAAACCCAUUGCUUCUUUUAUUUGACUUCUUUCUAGUGUCAAUGAACGGAGCAUAUCCUCAAAUUCAUCCCUCUGAGCAUCAGUCAAUGUCCGUUCAACAUCCACUCGCCUGCUUCUUCCAGCAGCAUAUGUGCUCCCAGCUUCUUUUUCAUGAUCAGCUCCUUUCGGUGUUGGUAGAGAGGGUGGUAUCCACCUCCCACUACCAGUUAUCAUGAUGAAAGGGACUGUCCUCCACCGUUG
rnacentral:misc_RNA from 1 species